rnacentral:tRNA from 1 species
GGGCGGGUGGCGAAACUGGCAGACGCGCCAGACUUAGGAUCUGGUCCUGUAAGGGAUGGAGGUUCAAGUCCUCUCCCGCCCA